UACAGAGGGUGCGAGCGUUAAUCGGAAUUACUGGGCGUAAAGCGCGCGUAGGCGGUUUUGCAAGUCGGGUGUGAAAUCCCCAGGCUUAACCUGGGAACUGCAUUCGAGACUGCAUUACUAGAGUAUGGGAGAGGGAAGUGGAAUUUCCGGUGUAGCGGUGAAAUGCGUAGAUAUCGGAAGGAACAUCAGUGGCGAAAGCGACUUCCUGGACCAAUACUGACGCUCAUGUGCGAAAGCGUGGGGAGCAAACAGG
rnacentral:rRNA from 1 species